rnacentral:rRNA from 1 species
AGUGAACGCUGGCGGUAGGCCUAACACAUGCAAGUCGAACGGCAGCACAGUAAGAGCUUGCUCUUACGGGUGGCGAGUGGCGGACGGGUGAGGAAUACAUCGGAAUCUACUUUUUCGUGGGGGAUAACGUAGGGAAACUUACGCUAAUACCGCAUACGACCUACGGGCGAAAGCAGGGGAUCUUCGGACCUUGCGCGAUUGAAUGAGCCGAUGUCGGAUUAGCUAGUUGGCGGGGUAAAGGCCCACCAAGGCGACGAUCCGUAGCUGGUCUGAGAGGAUGAUCAGCCACACUGGAACUGAGACACGGUCCAGACUCCUACGGGAGGCAGCAGUGGGGAAUAUUGGACAAUGGGCGCAAGCCUGAUCCAGCCAUACCGCGUGGGUGAAGAAGGCCUUCGGGUUGUAAAGCCCUUUUGUUGGGAAAGAAAAGCAGCAGGUUAAUACCCCGCUGUUCUGACGGUACCCAAAGAAUAGGCACCGGCUAACUUCGUG